UCUAUCUGUAAAGCAUGGCAUGGCCAGAAAUCAGAUGACCUCAAAUAUGGUGAAUACCACAGCAGAGAGCUUUGAGUCUUUUGGUGGCGAUGAGCUUAAAGAUGACUUAGAAACAUCUGGCUUGAUUGCACAUAUGGCCAACCUGCAGUUUAACAAACAAAACCUACAAGACAAAAAUAACAAAUUUAACCUGGCAUUGGAAGCCUGGCCUAGAGGAAGCCAACAACCGAUUAGUGAAAGACUAUUCUGAACUGUGCAACCAAAUGAAAAGGUGAAUAUCUCGCUCUGUGUGGAUUGUGGUUACUCAGUUGUCUCAGUCAGGUCUGACCCCAUUUGGGUGCAAUGAUAGUGGAGUGGUUUGCUAUUUCCUUCUUCA
rnacentral:lncRNA from 1 species